rnacentral:lncRNA from 1 species
GGGACCCUGACUUGGCCCUGGGGCCUUGUGAGGUUCAAGGGCGGUAUUUGUUUCCCUACUACUUUUGGAUGGCACGUCUUUCACCCUUCAGCACUGUCUGAGAGCACAACUGAGCAGUUGGAGGUGAGUGAGGAUGGGGAAGAAAAGAUGUUGAAGAAAGCUCAGCCCCAGGGAAUUUGGUUUGGAAGGCAGUAGCUCUACAUAUGAAUCUUCAUCUGUAUGAUCGCUAAUGGUGCAGGAGAAAUUUGGAACGAUGCAGAAGUCUGCGGGAUCUCGGGAUGCUAAUGCUGAAACCUGGCAUCCUAUAGUCUCUGGAAAUUAAUGUGCAGAGAUCUGGUGUCCUGCUUGUGUGUUUCAAGUGGAGACAAUUUUGAGUGCCUGGCUUCUAAGUAUAUUUUGACUGAGACAACUUCGGUGUAA